rnacentral:rRNA from 1 species
AUACGGAGGGUCCAAGCGUUAUCCGGAUUCAUAGGGUUUAAAGGGUCCGCAGGCGGGAAAAUAAGUCAGUGGUGAAAGCCUACAGCUCAACUGUAGAACUGCCAUUGAUACUGUUUUUCUUGAGUAUAGAUGAAGUGGGCGGAAUAUAUCAUGUAGCGGUGAAAUGCAUAGAUAUGAUAUAGAACACCGAUUGCGAAGGCAGCUGACUAAACUAUUACUGACGCUCAGGGACGAAAGCGUGGGGAGCGAACAGGAUUAGAUACCCUAGUAGUCC